rnacentral:rRNA from 1 species
UACAGAGGGUGCGAGCGUUGUCCGGAAUCACUGGGCGUAAAGGGCGCGUAGGUGGCGACCCAAGUCGAUGGUGAAAGCUCGCCGCUCAACGGCGAGUCGGCCACUGAUACUGGGUUGCUGGAGCACUGUAGAGGCAGAUGGAAUUCCGGGUGUAGCGGUGGAAUGCGUAGAGAUCCGGAAGAACACCGGUGGCGAAGGCGGUCUGCUGGGCAGUUGCUGACACUGAGGCGCGACAGCGGUGG